CCCCCCUCUCUCUCUCUCUCUCUCUCUCUCUCUCUCUCUUCUCUACUUCGAUCUCACUAUCAGUCGAUCAGCCACCGCGCCGUCUCCAGCCCUGCACGCAGUCUCAGUUAAUGAUCGCCGACAAAAUCUAUUCCUCUCCUGCGAUUUUUUCUGUGGGUUUCUCUCUCAUAUCAGUUAAAGGUGAUAUACGUGCAAGCUCAAGCAGAAUACACAUUGUCGGAUAAUGGCUGUUCGGACUUCUACCAAACCGAAUCUAUAUGAUGAUGAGGACGAGAAACCUUUAGUUUUUAAACGGUCCAACACAAAAUCUAAACAAAAUCACUUAGAUGGCCAGUUAAAACAGUUACCAGAACAGAAUAAGUCUACCACAAUUAAGGAGGAAAGUAAUUCUAUUG